CUGCAAUGAAACACUAAAUCCCUACACUGGAAUUCAUUGUCCAUCUGAAGCUAAGCAGGUUUGGGCCUGGCCAGUAUUUGGAUGGGAAACCGACAAGGAAAGCUAGAUUGCUGCUGG
rnacentral:rRNA from 1 species